GACAGAGGGUGCGAACGUUGUUCGGAAUUACUGGGCGUAAAGCGCAUGUAGGCGGCAGCGCAAGUCGGGCGUGAAAUCCCACGGCUCAACCGUGGAAGUGCACUCGAAACUGCGCAGCUAGAGUCCUGGAGAGGAAGGUGGAAUGCUUGGUGUAGCAGUGAAAUGCGUAGAUAUCAUGAGGAGUACCAGAGGCGAAGGCGGCUACCUGGACAAUUGCUGACGCUCAGGCACGAAAGCGUGGGGAGCAAAAGGG
rnacentral:rRNA from 1 species